GGUGAGGCAAAUGCUCAUCAGGCGCUAUGGAAUCAGGUGUUUUUUUUUCUUACAGAAAACUUGCACUCUGAAUUUGACAAAGCUGCUCUGAGCUGGCACUUGUAAUACCCCAGGAGACAGGAUUUUAUAUGAUUUGACUGGAACCAAUAGGUCUAGAGAUGCCCCAGUCUAUUUGCCGUUCCUCAGUCACCUCGGAAGCUCGCCACUUUACUACUGGAACUUCACUCAGGGUGCAGACUUUGUCCCCAAAAGAGUCUGUGUGAUGGGCUGGGUACACAAUGCUCCAUUGUUUUGAGCUCCUCCAAACUCUAUGCUGUAAUCCAGAAGUUAGUGUUUUCAGGAUCCAUGUGUGAGUGGAAUGUCCUGCUCUGUGGCUGCCAUAUUCUCUUGUCGUUUGUACAGCCUUUUGCUUGUCUUCAUUACGAACAGUGACUGUGGCUACGCAGUCAUCUGUAUUUAGAGAAAUUUUUUUUGAGUCUGUAAGUUCUCCACUUAAGAAAUAUAUUAGGGCUGAAGGUCAAAGGAAGAAGACAUUAAACCUUUGCUCACUUAUGGCAAUUACUCUGGAGACAACCACUGCUUGGAAAACAAGUAUUAUGAGCUACCUUUUCCCUCUAGGGAGAAGAAGAGAGAAGGAAAAGGCUGCAUGUGACAGAUGCUAAUUAUGCAGCUUAAUGCACUUCUGGAAGUUGCAGUGAUGAAAACUAUAUAAGAACUGUUGGAUUUCUCCUUAGGGAGGUGUGACUUAACAACAUUGCCAGCAACUCUCUCUGUGU
rnacentral:lncRNA from 1 species